GACGUAGGGGGCAAGCGUUGUCCGGAAUCAUUGGGCGUAAAGCGCUCGUAGGUGGAUCGGUAAGUCUGCAAAGAAAGACCCGGGCUCAACUCGGGGAACGGUGUGGAUACUACCGAUCUUGAGGCAAUCAGAGGAUGAUGGAACUCCCGGUGUAGCGGUGAAAUGCGUAGAUAUCGGGAGGAACACCAGUGGCGAAGGCGAUCAUCUGGGGUUGUUCUGACACUGAGGAGCGAAAGCUAGGGGAGCAAACGGG
rnacentral:rRNA from 1 species